CAGGCCUAACACAUGCAAGUCGAGCGGACCAUUCCUUCGGGGAUGGUUAGCGGCGGACGGGUGAGUAACACGUAGGCAACCUGCCUGUAAGAUCGGGAUAACUACCGGAAACGGUAGCUAAGACCGGAUAGCUGGUUUCUCCGCAUGGAGGGAUCAUGAAACAUGGGGCAACCUGUGGCUUACGGAUGGGCCUGCGGCGCAUUAGCUAGUUGGUGGGGUAAUGGCCCACCAAGGCGACGAUGCGUAGCCGACCUGAGAGGGUGAUCGGCCACACUGGGACUGAGACACGGCCCAGACUCCUACGGGAGGCAGCAGUAGGGAAUCUUCCGCAAUGGGCGCAAGCCUGACGGAGCAACGCCGCGUGAGUGAUGAAGGUUUUCGGAUCGUAAAGCUCUGUUGCCAAGGAAGAACGCCUCGGAGAGUAACUGCUCUGAGGGCGACGGUACUUGAGAAGAAAGCCCCGGCUAACUACGUGCCAGCAGCCGCGGUAAUACGUAGGGGGCAAGCGUUGUCCGGAAUUAUUGGGCGUAAAGCGCGCGCAGGCGGUCUUUUAAGUUUGGUGUUUAAGCCCGGGGCUCAACCCCGGUUCGCACUGAAAACUGGGAGACUUGAGUGCAGGAGAGGAAAGCGGAAUUCCACGUGUAGCGGUGAAAUGCGUAGAGAUGUGGAGGAACACCAGUGGCGAAGGCGGCUUUCUGGACUGUAACUGACGCUGAGGCGCGAAAGCGUGGGGAGCAAACAGGAUUAGAU
rnacentral:rRNA from 1 species